UACGAAGGGGGCUAGCGUUGCUCGGAAUGACUGGGCGUAAAGGGCGCGUAGGCGGAUGGCAUAGUCAGAUGUGAAAUUCCCGGGCUUAACCUGGGGACUGCAUUUGAUACGUGUCGUCUUGAGUUCGGAAGAGGGUCGUGGAAUUCCCAGUGUAGAGGUGAAAUUCGUAGAUAUUAGGAAGAACACCAGUGGCGAAGGCGGACUCACUGGUCCGGUACGUGACGCUGAGGUGCGAAAGCGUGGGGAGCAAACAGGG
rnacentral:rRNA from 1 species